GAUGAACGCUGGCGGCGUGCCUAAUACAUGCAAGUAGGACGCAGUUGCGAACGGGUUAGUAACGCGUAGGUAACUACCUAUUAGAGGGGGAUAACUAUUGGAACCGAUAGCUAAUACCGCAUACUAGUAGAUGGACCUGCGCUGUGUUAGCUAGUAGGUAGGGUAAUGGCCUACCUAGGCAACGAUACAUAAUCGGCCUGAGAGGGAGUUAUGGCACACUUGGACGUGGGCACGGGCCAGACUCCUACGGGAGGCAGGAGUAGGGGAACUUUGGCAAUGGGGGGAAACCUGACCGGGCAAGGCCGCGUGAGUGAAGAAAGUUUUCGGAUCGUAAAGCUCUGUUGUUAAGGAAGCGGUACUUAACCAGAAAGGGACGGCUAACUACGUGCCAGCAGCCGCGGUAAUAC
rnacentral:rRNA from 1 species